rnacentral:misc_RNA from 1 species
UUUUUAAUUAAACUUAAUUGAAAAAAGUAACAUUUAAAUAGUAUUAAUAUAAAAUUUAUAAGAAUCGAUAAUAAAUAUACGAGACUAAAAAGUAUAAACGCUUGUUAAUUUUAAAUGAAAAAAUUACUUGUUUAAUUACAACUAGCUUCAAUACGUUAGAAUUAACUGCUCAAGAACAACUGAAAACGUCGUAAAACAUCGUUCACAAUGUCACUGUUCAGCGUCUCCGUUUCACACAAUUUCACUCCCAGAUUUCUUGAAGUAAAACUUCUUUACGCACGCUUGACUUCCGAGCGUUACGAAAAGUGUGAUCGGGCGAGGCGAACAAGCAAAAGAGAAAGGUGCGAGCACAUAUCCUCUUUCUUUCAUAGCCAGUUAAGCUUCAGGCGUACCGGGCCUAUAUUGUGCAGAAGUUUUACUUCAGUCGUGUAGUCUAAAGCACACUCGUUUUUUUUU